GUAUGGGGACAGACGCAGCGAACGGCGACCUGCCCGUCGGUAGGUGGAUAAGUACGACCCGCACCCUCUUCACUAAUCCAUCCCCGCCGCCGCUGCCAGAUCGGGAGCCAUGUCCGCCUCCGGUUCGUUCUCAUAGUGCGUGGAUUACAACGAUGGUCUUUGCCCGUCGAAUAGCUCAGUUGCCGCCGGCGCCCAUGCAUCAAGCAGUGCGUGGAUGCGUGAAUCCCGCCGCACAGGUCGAUCGCAAGCCCCAAACCACCUACUGCUCACCAGCACCGGGCAUCAAUCAGGCUGGACGCGCACGAGCCAGCAGAUCUUCACGCAGAUAGCUCUAUGGGGCGGCCAUAUCAAGUCAUGGCUGCUGCCAUCCCGCUGAUAGGGCGCCAACUUGAUGGUCACCAUAUUAGAAUCUACUAGCAAACUUGCCCGUUGCAGCGGGAGAAAAGAAUCACAUACUUCUAGCACAAUAAGCAUGACUCAAGACCAAUUCAGUGGUGCAUGUUAUCUAUUUGAAUACAGUAUCUCAUUUA